UACGUAGGGUGCAAGCGUUAAUCGGAAUUACUGGGCGUAAAGCGUGCGCAGGCGGCUCUGCAAGACAGAUGUGAAAUCCCCGGGCUCAACCUGGGAACUGCAUUUGUGACUGCAGGGCUAGAGUACGGUAGAGGGGGAUGGAAUUCCGCGUGUAGCAGUGAAGUGCGUAGAUAUGCGGAGGAACACCGAUGGCGAAGGCAAUCCCCUGGGCCUGCACUGACGCUCAUGCACGAAAGCGUGGGGAGCAAACAGG
rnacentral:rRNA from 1 species